AGAGUUUGAUCCUGGCUCAGAACGAACGCUGGCGGCAGGCCUAACACAUGCAAGUCGAGCGCCCGCAAGGGAGCGGCAGACGGGUGAGUAACGCGUGGGAACGUGCCCUUUGGUUCGGAAUAUUCCCGGGAAACUGGGAGCAAAACCGGAUAAGCCCUUCGGGGGAAAGUUUACGCCAAAGGAUCGGCCCGCGUUAGAUUAGGUAGUUGGUGGGGUAACGGCCUACCAAGCCUACGAUCUAUAGCUGAUCUGAGAGGAUGAUCAGCCACACUGGGACUGAGACACGGCCCAGACUCCUACGGGAGGCAGCAGUGGGGAAUCUUGGACAAUGGGCGCAAGCCUGAUCCAGCCAUGCCGCGUGGAUGACUGAAGGCCCUAGGGUUGUAAAGUCCUUUCGACGGGGACGAUAGUGACGGUACCCGUAGAAGAAGCCCCGGCUAACUUCGUGCCAGCAGCCGCGGUAAUACGAAGGGGGCUAGCGUUGUUCGGAUUUACUGGGCGUAAAGGGCGCGUAGGCGGAUUUUUAAGUCGGGGGUGAAAUCCCGGAGCUCAACUCCGGAACUGCCUUCGAUACUGAAAGUCUGGAGCACGGUAGAGGUGAGUGGAAUUCCGAGUGUAGAGGUGAAAUUCGUAGAUAUUCGGAGGAACACCAGUGGCGAAGGCGGCUCACUGGACCGUUGCUGACGCUGAGGCGCGAAAGCGUGGGGAGCAAACGGGAUUAGAUACCCUGGUAGUCC
rnacentral:rRNA from 1 species